rnacentral:rRNA from 1 species
UACGAAGGGGGCUAGCGUUGCUCGGAAUCACUGGGCGUAAAGGGUGCGUAGGCGGGUUUCUAAGUCAGAGGUGAAAGCCCGGGGCUCAACCCCGGAACUGCCUUUAAGACUGCAUCGCUUGAAUCCAGGAGAGGUGAGUGGAAUUCCGAGUGUAGAGGUGAAAUUCGUAGAUAUUCGGAAGAACACCAGUGGCGAAGGCGGCUCACUGGCCUGGUAUUGACGCUGAGGUGCGAAAGCGUGGGGAGCAAACAGG